rnacentral:misc_RNA from 1 species
UCUCGGAAAUGCUUCAAGUCGCAGUACCCACAACCUAUCGGUUGCAGCGCGUGAGAUGUUUUCACCGCAGCAGCAGUACGCCGGACAACGGGCCUGUAGCUCAGUUGGUUAGAGCACCGUCUUGAUAAGGCGGGGGUCGAUGGUUCGAAUCCAUCCAGACCCACCAGGGCAGUAAGCGGCACCCGAAGCGUGCGACUUGCGAGAAGCGAGCUUAUCGCAAGGCGAAGGGGCUGUAGCUCAAUUGGGAGAGCGCCUGCUUUGCAAGCAGGAGGUCGUCGGUUCGAUCCCGUCCAGCUCCACCAGUUCGACGAGUAACUAUCGGUUGCACAACGCACAGCGUUCAACUCUGGGCUUCUGCCUGGAGCUCAAAGUUGAAAGCUGUACUGUUCUUUAACAAUUCGGAAGGCAAGGGUUCAUCUGGACUUGAUGAGAGUCUGGGUGGACAUAGGGUUGAGUUGUAUCUUGUCUGCACGCUGAAUAAAAAGGCGGCGUGCGGAUGGCGCAAACACGCCGUAACGGUGAACUCGCAAGGGCUCACAGUUAUGGGGUCAAGUGACUAAGUGCAUGUGGUGGAUGCCUUGGCGAUUACAGGCGAUGAAGGACGUGGCAGCCUGCGAAAAGCUGCGGGGAGCUGGCAAAGCAGCUUUGAUCCGCAGAUAU